CGCGUAGGCGGUCUCUUAAGUCAGAUGUGAAAGCCCUCGGCUUAACCGAGGAAGUGCAUUUGAUACUAAGUGACUUGAGUAUGGGAGAGGGAAGCGGAAUUCCUGGUGUAGCGGUGAAAUGCGUAGAUAUCAGGAGGAACACCGGUGGCGAAGGCGGCUUCCUGGACCAAUACUGACGCUGAGGCGCGAAGGCGUGGGGAGCAAACAG
rnacentral:rRNA from 1 species